AUACUUACCUGGCAGGGAGGAGACACCAAUGAUCAUGAAGGUGGUUCACCCAGGGCGAGGCUCAGCCAUUGCACUCCGGUUGGGCUGACCCUUUGCGAAUUCCCCAAAUGUGGGAAUCUCGACUGCAAAAUUUCUGAUAGUGGGGGGACUGCGUUCGCGCUCUCCCCUG